AUACUUAGCUGGCAGGGGCGACUCCAUGAUCAGGAAGAUGGUUUCCCCAGGGUGAGGCUCGCCCAUUGCAAUCCAGGCGUGCUGACCCCUGUGAUUUCCCCAAAUGUGGGCAACUGCACAAUUUGUGAUAGUGGGGUAUUGUGUGCGUGCUUUCCCUGA